rnacentral:rRNA from 1 species
GUAGGUGGCAAGCGUUGUCCGGAAUUAUUGGGCGUAAAGCGCGCGCAGGCGGUUCUUUAAGUCUGAUGUGAAAGCCCACGGCUCAACCGUGGAGGGUCAUUGGAAACUGGAGAACUUGAGUACAGAAGAGGAAAGCGGAAUUCCACGUGUAGCGGUGAAAUGAGUAGAGAUGUGGAGGAACACCAGUGGCGAAGGCGGCUUUCUGGUCUGUAACUGACGCUGAGGCGCGAAAGCGUGGGGAGCAAACAGGAUUAGAUACCCUGGUAGUCCACGCCGUAAACGAUGAGUGCUAAGUGUUAGGGGGGUUUCCGCCCCCCUUAGUGCUGCAGCUAACGCAUUAAGCACUCCGCCUGGGAGUACGGCCGCAAGGCUG